CGGAGCUAUGAGAUGAGGGCCCAUUGCUUUGAUUCUGGUCAAAAUCCUGUCGCUGGUCUUCUACCUUUCGACAACGGGAGUCCAGAUCGUGAAUUCGUUGCUCUUGCCCGGCCGCAGCAGCCGCCUCUGCGUCCGUCACCGCGGCGCCGAUGCGGCCGUGACCCCCGCCGGGCCUGGGGGAAGCGCGGCAGCGACGGCGUCGCUCGCUUCGACCGGCGGCACGCUGAGGCAAGCAUUUGUGGUCAAUGAGACACCCGUAUUCAUGAAUAAGCCUCCUCCACAUGUAUUUAAACUGGUGAAUUUCAUUCUUCCUCUUGCAACUUGUUGUUAGCUUCAUUUCCCUCUUAUAUAUAGUGAUUGGUUUGAGGAGAGACUAAAAUCUGGCGACUGAAUACUUGCUGCGAAUAGUGGUGGGUAGCUAUAAUAAUAGUGCAGAAACGCAGCAAUGUCUCUACCAUCAAUGAUUAUAAAGCUCACUUUGGGUUUGCUCUGGUGCAUCAUCCACUUAGCAAUCAGCCUUUUAAGCUUAUGUUCUCAUCUGAUUUUCAAUCUAGAGUGUUCUCUUAUUUCGUCUGGGUUGUUGUGGAAGUAUCGGAAUCUCCAACUGGGGAGACUCAAAUACCUCGCUAUUGUGGUAGAUAGCAGAGAAGCUAAGAAUACCGUGAAGAUCAAUCAGCUGUUAUAUUGGCUCAAAACUCUUGGUGUGAAGUAUGUAUGUCUGUACGACAUUGACGGAGUGCUGAAGAAAUUGUUUGAACCUGGUAUGAAUGGUUCAAGAGAUAACAAUCCCGGAGAUUAUUUGGAUGUCAGUGCAAAUAUCAAAGCCUUAGACUGUUGUCAGAAACAGAUGACGAUAGAGUGUAUUUCUGGUUCUGAUGGCAAAGAGGGCAUUGCUAAAGCAGCCAACUUACUUUGCUCCAGUUAUUUAAACGGUGAUAGCUAUACUCAAGAGAAUGUCAAAAGUGAAGAGAAUGUAAAAAAUGAGCCAGUAUUUACAGAAAUUGACAUGGCCAGUGCACUGAAAUCCAUAGGUUGUGCUGGACCAGAACCUGAUCUUCUACUUGUGUAUGGUCCUGCCAGAUGCCAUUUAGGCUUUCCUACAUGGAGAUUGCGAUAUACUGAGAUUAUGCAUAUGGGACCUCUGAAAUCAAUGAAAUACGGCGCCAUUGUGAAAGCCUUCCAUAACUACUCAAAGAAACACCAAAACUAUGGUAAAUGAGAGCUUCUGAUACUUAUAUACUGAAGACCAGACUGUUGUGUAGAAAAGCACUCCUGGGACUGGAAGCUUGACAACUGUUUUGCCUUACUGUUCGUGAUUAUACUAGUAGAGGUUAGUUAAGAUCAAGUCGAUACCCAUGUUGUAAUAUCUUUUGGCAAGAUUAGAAGUGUUAUUGAUAGAACAUACGGGAAUGGACCCCAUUGUAAAGCUUGCCUGGUCAUGGAAGAUUAAUGAACCUGCUCUUGAGCCGUUGAGCGAGCACACAUGGAUUGAUAUCAGCAAUGUUAUGCACCCAAAUCAUGCCGAUCUUUUUGGUUGUGAAUGUAGCAGCCAGCAGCUGCUGACAUGUGUUUUCCUUUUGAAUUUUAACUUAAUAUGCAACUGAGUGCACUUUGAUUUUG
rnacentral:rRNA from 1 species